rnacentral:lncRNA from 1 species
GCUGGAGUGCAAUGGCUCAAUCUCGGCUCACUGCAACCUCUGCCUGCUAGGUUCAAGCGAUUCUUCUGCCUCAGCCUCCCGAGUAGCUGGGAUUACAGGCAUGUGCCACCAUGCCCGGCUAAUUUUGUAUUUUCAGUAGAGAUGGUGUUUCUCCAUGUUGGCCAGGCUGGUCUCGAACUGAACUCCUGACCUCAAGUUAUCUGCCCUCCUCGGCCUCCCAAAGUACUGGGAUUACAGGAUGUCAGUGUGCAGGAGAACUUGCAAGAGAAAGUGGCUAACAGAGACAGGAGUCAGCUGGGUCAGAGAAUAGAAGGUGGGACUGGAGGUGCAUUCUGCUGAGAGGUGCUCAAGUGAGGAAAGCUGACAAGAACUAGGUGAGACCGGACUAAAAAGAAUCCU